rfam:Bacillus sp. VT-16-70 Bacillus_obstructivus_contig196, whole genome shotgun sequence.
UCACCUUUUAAGAAAAGUCCAGAGAGGCUUACAAGGGUGUUAUAUUAAAUAUGUCCAUUUAUACUGAUUAAUGAAGACAUAUUUAAAAAAACACCCACCUAUUUGGUAGGGUGUUUUUUUACG